rnacentral:rRNA from 1 species
UACGGAGGGUGCGAGCGUUGUCCGGAAUCACUGGGCGUAAAGGGCGCGUAGGCGGCGCGGGCAGUCAACGGUGAAAGCUUGGGGCUCAACCCCGGGUCGGCCGUGCGAACUGUUUUGCUUGAGCACUGUAGAGGCAGGCGGAAUUCCGGGUGUAGCGGUGGAAUGCGUAGAGAUCCGGAAGAACACCGGUGGCGAAGGCGGCCUGCUGGGCAGUAGCUGACACUGAGGCGCGACAGCGUGGGGAGCAAACAGG